rnacentral:rRNA from 1 species
AUGCCGUAAUAUCAGCAUGGCCGGAGUGCCACAACCCGAGCAAUUGCGCCCCUUUUCCCCCGCAAGGGGGUGGAGCCGUUUGUUCGUUUGUGAGCUACUUUGAGUAAAAUAGAGUGCCCCAAGCAGGUUUUCGCCUAAAUACAUCAGCAUAGAAUAGCACAAUACCCUUGGUCUUGGCUGGUCGAGAUCAAAGGAUGGAUUAAUAAGAACAGUCGUGGGCAAUGGUACUUCGGGGCUAGAGGUGAAAUUCUUGGAUUCUCGAAAGACCAACAAAAGCGAAGGCAUUUGUCAAGGAUGUUUCUGUUGAUCAAGAGCUAGAGCCCGGUGCUCAACGAAGAUUAGAUACCUUCUUAGUCCUAGCCCUAAACUAUGUCAACUCGGUGUCGGUCAUUUUAAUGGAAUUGAUCGGCGCCGUAAGGGAAACCAAAGUUUUCAGAUUCCUGGGAGAGUAUCGUCGCAAGUCAGAAAUCUAAAGGUAUUGACGGAAUAUUACACAAGGAAAGGAAUUUACGGUUUAAUUUGACUCAACGCGGGAAAGCUUACCAGAGCAAGACAUGAUCAGGAGUGACAGUUUAAGAGCGCUUUCACGAUUUCAUGAGUUGUGGCGCAUGGCCGUUGACGGUUCGUAAAGUCAUUCGUCUGGUUGAUUCCGAUAACGAACGAGACUUGGGCUCUUAAACUAGUGUUUUCGAAUUGCCAUGCCAUGCCAUGCCAAUGGUAUGGCGU